UGGAGCUGCAAAGAAAAGACAAGGAACUGAGAGGCAAACUCAGGCGGGCAGAGGAUGCACACAAGAGACACUUUGAGGAGACACUGAAGGCUGGCAACCCCCCAAAAAUAUGGGAGACCAUGAAAAACAUGACAGGUUUGAAACAACUUGGAGCUCUGAAAGAUGCAGGGAGGUGCUGGAGUCAGUAACUGUGGGGUCUGAAGAUAAGAGUGUAAAUCUCAGCGGGUCAGGUGGCCAACAUCUUUCGACAUCUCAGCACACGGUUUAUAUGGAGCCGCAGAUAUCCUGUGAGAGUCUCAGAUGGAGAGAAACUCUCUGGUCAGCUGUUUCUUGUCCCACUCAUCAGGACAAACUGCGGUUACAGAAGUCAAGAGUUGGUCCCCAGAACUGCCACCACAUGGUGUUUGGAUCAAGUCGUGUAAUAACUUUCUCCUUGUUCAAGACAAUUAUCCUCUCCACCUUCCACCUCCUCCACAUCCAUCAACACGUCUGUCCUCGUCUCUACCUGCCAGCUGCUUCCUGAAGCCCUGACACUAAGAGCCUUUAUGCCCUGUGGAUUUUGUGGCUUGAGGCUUUGCCACUCGGUGCCCACGGAGAGUUCUUGGAAGGCCGGGGAUCCACAAAGCCUCCCAGCCACCUCAAGCCUUCGGCCCAGGCCACAGAACAGUAAACCUGGCAGAGGCUGAGACCAGACUGUGGUCAAGUCAACCCUCAGCGCCGGAGCGAGGACUCCCCUCUGAGUGAAGGAAGUACAGAGUACACACAGCUACAUGAAAACCCCCAGCACAAAGAUAUUAUCACAUAAAACAGGUCAUACUGGAGUGUUGAUCGCUGGAGACGCUGCUGCUGCUGCUGCACCAGAGUUCAGCUGAUAAAAAGCCAAGACUGGUACUGAUAUCUUCUGACCUAAAUCAUCAGCUACUGACAUUAUGAAGUGUAAUAUGUUUCCAUUUUCAAGCCAAACAUACAGUACAGUAUAUGGUGGG